UUGAUCCACUAGGGGAGUCCUUUAAAAGGGCUGAGAUAAAAGUAUUGACUUUUAGACCCUCAUUACCUGAACAGGUUCAUACCUGCGUAGGGAAGUGGUGCGGUUUUUGA
rfam:Bacillus pumilus SAFR-032, complete genome.